AGAAUCAAGAAAGAGCUCUC
rnacentral:miRNA from 1 species